ACGUUCUUGACGCGAUAACAAUUGGUUUAUCGAUAUCCUAUUUAUACCUUAUUCAAAUUAUUUUGAUGCUCCUCUACGGGCCGACUUACUGUGAUGUCAUCCGAAUAAACUGCUGUUCCUGGUAAACAUUUUAGUGGUGAAUCGAUGAUACAUUGAAAUAUCGCUGAGGCUAAGGCAAUUCCAAAUGUCGUCCUCUAGUUCGAGGCAUUGGAUAAAUCGAGACUUGUAAAAUGAGAUCCUCUUCCAAUGGCUGCUUAUAUAUCAUCAAUUCUUGGUAUGGGAUAUUGUUUAGUUGACGAUUCACUGAUCGUUUUCAGAAAUUCUCACAGACUCUAGUCUUAUCUUUUUUAAGG